rnacentral:rRNA from 1 species
GGGAGCCGGAGGGAAACCGAGUCUUAAUUGGGCGUUAAGUUGCAGGGUAUAGACCCGAAACCCGGUGAUCUAGCCAUGGGCAGGUUGAAGGUUGGGUAACACUAACUGGAGGACCGAACCGACUAAUGUUGAAAAAUUAGCGGAUGACCUGUGGCUGGGGGUGAAAGGCCAAUCAAACCGGGAGAUAGCUGGUUCUCCCCGAAAGCUAUUUAGGUAGCGCCUCGUGAAUUCAUCUCCGGGGGUAGAGCACUGUUUCGGCUAGGGGGCCAUCCCGGCUUACCAACCCGAUGCAAACUGCGAAUACCGGAGAAUGUUAUCACGGGAGACACACGGCGGGUGCUAACGUCCGUCGUGAAGAGGGAAACAACCCAGACCGCCAGCUAAGGUCCCAAAGUCAUGGUUAAGUGGGAAACGAUGUGGGAAGGCCCAGACAGCCAGGAUGUUGGCUUAGAAGCAGCCAUCAUUUAAAGAAAGCGUAAUAGCUCACUGGUCGAGUCGGCCUGCGCGGAAGAUGUAACGGGGCUAAACCAUGCACCGAAGCUGCGGCAGCGACACUGUGUGUUGUUGGGUAGGGGAGCGUUCUGUAAGCCUGUGAAGGUGUGUCGUGAGGC